rnacentral:rRNA from 1 species
UUUUAUGAGAGUUUGAUCCUGGCUCAGGACGAACGCUGGCGGCGUGCCUAAUACAUGCAAGUCGUACGCUUCUUUUUCCACCGGAGCUUGCUCCACCGGAAAAAGAGGAGUGGCGAACGGGUGAGUAACACGUGGGUAACCUGCCCAUCAGAAGGGGAUAACACUUGGAAACAGGUGCUAAUACCGUAUAACAAUCGAAACCGCAUGGUUUUGAUUUGAAAGGCGCUUUCGGGUGUCGCUGAUGGAUGGACCCGCGGUGCAUUAGCUAGUUGGUGAGGUAACGGCUCACCAAGGCCACGAUGCAUAGCCGACCUGAGAGGGUGAUCGGCCACAUUGGGACUGAGACACGGCCCAAACUCCUACGGGAGGCAGCAGUAGGGAAUCUUCGGCAAUGGACGAAAGUCUGACCGAGCAACGCCGCGUGAGUGAAGAAGGUUUUCGGAUCGUAAAACUCUGUUGUUAGAGAAGAACAAGGAUGAGAGUAACUGUUCAUCCCUUGACGGUAUCUAACCAGAAAGCCACGGCUAACUACGUGCCAGCAGCCGCGGUAAUACGUAGGUGGCAAGCGUUGUCCGGAUUUAUUGGGCGUAAAGCGAGCGCAGGCGGUUUCUUAAGUCUGAUGUGAAAGCCCCCGGCUCAACCGGGGAGGGUCAUUGGAAACUGGGAGACUUGAGUGCAGAAGAGGAGAGUGGAAUUCCAUGUGUAGCGGUGAAAUGCGUAGAUAUAUGGAGGAACACCAGUGGCGAAGGCGGCUCUCUGGUCUGUAACUGACGCUGAGGCUCGAAAGCGUGGGGAGCAAACAGGAUUAGAUACCCUGGUAGUCCACGCCGUAAACGAUGAGUGCUAAGUGUUGGAGGGUUUCCGCCCUUCAGUGCUGCAGCUAACGCAUUAAGCACUCCGCCUGGGGAGUACGACCGCAAGGUUGAAACUCAAAGGAAUUGACGGGGGCCCGCACA